GAUGAACGUACUAUCAAAACCAAUACAGAUUGAUUUUGGAUGCUUGAUUCAGUUGGAAAGAUGACUAAACCUUUCUCAGCUUGUUGUAUUCUGCUUAUCCUCCUCAUUGCAGCAUCAGUGAGUACAAUACCAAAGGUGGAAGGAGCAAAAGGAAGAGGGUUUUUUUGCUACGAAAAUCUGUUUAUAUGCCAAGAUAGAGAUGACCCCAAUUGCCUCAAAAGUUGCAUAGCAAGACAUCGAGGGCCUUCGGACCGUCCCUUGGGUUUUUGUGAGCUUUAUUCCUUAAAUUGCUUUUGCCUUUGGGAAUGCGAUGAGUCAGCAACAUGCCGCAAAUCGAUCUUGAGCGAUCAUCCAUGAUUCAAUUCUCCCAAUAAAAAUAAUAGUAAUGCUACCCUCCAUAAGGCUAGCUAAUAGCUUUCCUCCAACAAGCCUAGCUAGGUCAACAGUUGGGUAGUAUAGGAGGAGGAGGAGUAAAGUAAACUCUACUCUGUUUUUGAGUUCUAAUUUUAUGUUAUCAACAGUUGGGUAUUUCAUGCUUCAAUUUAAUUAUGUAUCCACAGUUCAUUAGUUUACCAAGUACUGAUCCGUGCGUACUUACUUGGAAGUGUCUCAAUCGAUCUCUUAAUUUCUUCUAAUCAAACGCCGUGUAACUCUC